UACAGAGGUCCCAAGCGUUGUUCGGAUUCAUUGGGCGUAAAGGGUGUGUAGGUGGCGCCGUAAGUCGGGUGUGAAAUUUCGGAGCUUAACUCCGAAACUGCAUUCGAUAACUGCGGUGGCUUGAGGACUGGAGAGGAGACUGGAAUUCAUGGUGUAGCAGUGAAAUGCGUAGAGAUCAUGAGGAAUACCAGAGGCGAAGGCGGCUACCUGGACAAUUGCUGACGCUCAGGCACGAAAGCGUGGGGAGCAAAAGGG
rnacentral:rRNA from 1 species